GGCGUAGUUCAGUUGGUUAGAGCGUCAGAUUGUGGUUCUGAAUGUCGUGGGUUCGAGUCCCACCGUC
rnacentral:tRNA from 1 species